CCCCAGCCUGGCUGGUCCCCAGGCUGGGUUGGGCGAGUAUCUCUUCGAAAGGCUCACCCUCAAGCACAACUAGGAGC
rnacentral:pre_miRNA from 1 species